CAUUAGGUGAUUUUACAAAGAGCUGGGACAAUGUGGCUGUGUUAGUUGAUGAAACACUUAUACCACAAGAGCUGUGUAGCCCAAUCCUACAGACCCCAACACACCAGAACAUAAAACAAAAGGUCCUUCUAAUAAGGAAUAAGAACGUUGGAAACAGACAAUCCAUUCCUGAACAAAGGAUCCGUAA